CCUCUGAUCAAGAUGUCUUUCUCUGGACCCAGGACAUUGUGACAGUGGCUGAGGGGCACGCUUUGAAGGUUGUGCUGGAAACAAAGAAAGCCAAUCUUUCUAUUUCAAUCAGGUCUAACUGUGGCAGGAUCCAAAGAGCCUGAAAGCUUCCCAUACCUCCACCCUCAGCAGACUUCAGCUCCUUGGCCUCCUGGAUUUGAGCAACAAGACUUUGGAGCCUUUGUGACGCAGCCGUUCUGCGCUCCUCCAAAACACUCCUUUGUUCUCUUGAAGGUAGAACAUCUUGUCAGUUUCCUCCUGGGCUUUUCAUGCGGCACACAGCACUUCCAGUUAGCUGUGCAGAGCUGCCUGCUCAGCCCGCUUUUCUGACACAUCCUGUUCCUCUGCAGAAGUCUGCCUACUUGUUGCAGGGCUUCUACUAUCUCCUCAUUCCCCGUGAUCAGCUCCAUUCUCUGCUGAAGUUCUCUCCUACUGCAGAUGAGACCAGAGUAAAACCCACAUGAGGUCCAUGUACCGCUGAUCACACAAUAAAUCAGGUCACAGAAAAGGCCUGAAGCCUUGUAAUGUGUAGCCUGCUGCAUGUCUUCAUUACUUUGCUUGUCCGUUUAGCUAACCUUUGAUAAA